AGUGAACGCUGGCGAUAGGCCUAACACAUGCAAGUCGAACGGCAGCACAGUAAGAGCUUGCUCUUACGGGUGGCGAGUGGCGGACGGGUGAGGAAUACAUCGGAAUCUACUUUUUCGUGGGGGAUAACGUAGGGAAACUUACGCUAAUACCGCAUACGACCUACGGGUGAAAGCAGGGGAUCUUCGGACCUUGCGCGAUUGAAUGAGCCGAUGUCGGAUUAGCUAGUUGGCGGGGUAAAGGCCCACCAAGGCGACGAUCCGUAGCUGGUCUGAGAGGAUGAUCAGCCACACUGGAACUGAGACACGGUCCAGACUCCUACGGGAGGCAGCAGUGGGGAAUAUUGGACAAUGGGCGCAAGCCUGAUCCAGCCAUACCGCGUGGGUGAAGAAGGCCUUCGGGUUGUAAAGCCCUUUUGUUGGGAAAGAAAAGCAGCAGGUUAAUACCCCGCUGUUCUGACGGUACCCAAAGAAUAAGCACCGGCUAAUUUCGUG
rnacentral:rRNA from 1 species